rnacentral:tRNA from 1 species
UUCCAGAUAGUCCAGUGGUUAAGACUCUGCGCUUCCUAUGCAGAGGACACAGAUUCAAUCCCUGUUAGGGGAA